rnacentral:rRNA from 1 species
UACGUAGGGUGCAAGCGUUGUCCGGAAUUAUUGGGCGUAAAGAGCUCGUAGGCGGUCUGUCGCGUCUGCUGUGAAAACUCAGGGCUUAACCCUGAGCUUGCAGUGGGUACGGGCAGACUAGAGUGCGGUAGGGGAGACUGGAAUUCCUGGUGUAGCGGUGAAAUGCGCAGAUAUCAGGAGGGAACACCGGUGGGCCGAAAGG